rnacentral:misc_RNA from 1 species
GAUGAAGAACGUAGCGAAAUGCGAUAAGUAAUGUGAAUUGCAGAAUUCAGUGAAUCAUCGAAUCUUUGAACGCACCUUGCGCCCCUUGGUUAUUCCAAAGGGCAUGCCUGUUUGAGUAUCAUGAACACCUCAACUCUUGUGGUUUCCCACAAUGAGCUUGGACUGUGGAGGUUUUGUUGGCCCUGUGGUCAGCUCCUCUCAAAUGGAUCAGCUUACCGGUGUUUGGUGGCAUUACGGGUGUGAUAACUAUCUACGCUCGUGGUCGUCUCCAAAUAACCUCCAGUGAUGGAGGUUCGCUGGAGCUUAUAAAUGUCUCUCCCCAGUGAAGACAGCCUUUGAACGUUCGAUCUCAAAUCAGGUAGGACUACCCGCUGAACUUAAGCAUACCAAUAAGCGGAGGA